AUACACUUAGCAUAUAUUCUAAAAUUUGAAUGAUACAGAGAAGAUUAUCAUGCUCCUUGUGCAAAUGAUGACAUGGAAAUCCAUAAAGUAUUUUAAGCUGUU